rnacentral:rRNA from 1 species
CCACGUGGUCAUACCGGAUUGUCUCAGAUCUCAGAAGCUAAGUAAAGCUGCGCCUGGUUAGUAUUCGGAUGGGAGACGCUGGGAAUAUCAGGUGCCACAGUGGA